AACGGCGAGUGAAGCGGCAACAGCUCAAAUUUGAAAUCUGGCGUCUUCGGCGUCCGAGUUGUAAUUUGCAGAGGGCGCUUUGGCAUUGGCAGCGGUCCAAGUUCCUUGGAACAGGACGUCACAGAGGGUGAGAAUCCCGUACGUGGUCGCUAGCCUUUACCGUGUAAAGCCCCUUCGACGAGUCGAGUUGUUUGGGAAUGCAGCUCUAAAUGGGAGGUAAAUUUCUUCUAAAGCUAAAUACUGGCCAGAGACCGAUAGCGCACAAGUAGAGUGAUCGAAAGAUGAAAAGCACUUUGGAAAGAGAGUUAAAAAGCACGUGAAAUUGUUGAAAGGGAAGCGCUUGCAGCCAGACUUGCCUGUAGUUGCUCAUCCGGGUUUCUACCCGGUGCACUCUUCUAUAGGCAGGCCAGCAUCAGUUUGGGCGGUUGGAUAAAGGUCUCUGUCAUGUACCUCCUUUCGGGGAGAACUUAUAGGGGAGACGACAUGCAACCAGCCCGGACUGAGGUCCGCGCAUCUGCUAGGAUGCUGGCGUAAUGGCUGUAAGCGGCCCGUCUUGAAACACGGACCAAGGAGUCUAACAUCUAUGCGAGUGUUUGGGUGUCAAGCCCGAACGCGUAAUGAAAGUGAACGGAGGUGGGAACCUUUCGGGGUGCACCAUCGACCGAUCCUGAUGUCUUCGGAUGGAUUUGAGUAAGAGCAUAGCUGUUGGGACCCGAAAGAUGGUGAACUAUGCUUGAAUAGGGUGAAGCCAGAGGAAACUCUGGUGGAGGCUCGCAGCGGUUCUGACGUGCAA
rnacentral:rRNA from 2 species